rnacentral:tRNA from 1 species
GCGCGAGUGGCGGAAUUGGUAGACGCGCAGCGUUGAGGUCGCUGUGCCCGAUAAGGGCGUGGGGGUUCAAGUCCCCCCUCGCGCA